rnacentral:rRNA from 1 species
GAUGAACGCUGGCGGCGUGCCUAAUACAUGCAAGUCGAGCGAACAGACGAGGAGCUUGCUCCUCUGACGUUAGCGGCGGACGGGUGAGUAACACGUGGAUAACCUACCUAUAAGACUGGGAUAACUUCGGGAAACCGGAGCUAAUACCGGAUAAUAUAUUGAACCGCAUGGUUCAAUAGUGAAAGACGGUUUUGCUGUCACUUAUAGAUGGAUCCGCGCCGCAUUAGCUAGUUGGUAAGGUAACGGCUUACCAAGGCAACGAUGCGUAGCCGACCUGAGAGGGUGAUCGGCCACACUGGAACUGAGACACGGUCCAGACUCCUACGGGAGGCAGCAGUAGGGAAUCUUCCGCAGUGGGCGGAAGCUUGACGGAGCAACGCCGCGUGAGUGAUGAAGGUCUUCGGAUCGUAAAACUCUGUUAUUAGGGAAGAACAAAUGUGUAAGUAACUAUGCACGUCUUGACGGUACCUAAUCAGAAAGCCACGGCUAACUACGUG